AAGGUGAAACUGCCCAUUUUGUUCCCUGCUCUAUCUACAGUCGGACAUCAGAACAGUUCCUGGUUCCCAGUAAGCACUAAAUAGAUAAGAAAGGAGAAAGAGCAGAGGAGAGAAAAUUGAUGCCUGGAGCUAAGGCUGUAAGAAGGAGAUAAACAACAACAUCAAUUUAGAGAUGGGAAGUGGUAUGGACAGUGAAAGAGGAAGUGAGGAACAGGCCUGAACCUGAUUCACCACAACUUGGAAAACCUGGGGAGCUGGACAGAAGUUUGUAUUACAGGCUCGUAGCACCGGAGGUUUCUGCCGGAGCAGACAACUUGAGGAAGGCUGGCCCUGCUGAACACAGUGGACUGAUCGAGUCUGGACCCCUCCUCCACAGGUGCAGACUUCAUCUUGGACAAGCAUCACUGUAUGGAUUGGCAUUUGAGAGGAAAAGAUACGUUGAGCGUGGAUUCCUUUUAUUGCCCUGCCUUGUGCAGAGGCUGCUGACCGCUGCUUGGUGAGGCUGUGUCACAAGGUGGCUGGCUGCAGAACCCUGGGUGCUCCGGAACUCCUGAAAGUAAGCUCCACUGGCCUCCAAGGCCAGACGUCCUGAAGGCUCAGCUUCCUGGUGCAGAUCCCUCGCUCCCUGGGGACAAGCUCUGCAACUGUAGCGAUUCUUCCAUUUGUGAAUCACCCACCCGGGGGUAUACUGCGACUCUGCCUCUCCUACCCAUCUCACUGUGGCUCCUUCGUUACAUCUUUAGUUGCAGAAGAUCUUUUCUGGUGUAAAACCCCUCACUCUGUGUGCACUCACCUGUUGCCAUGGCGACGAAUACCACCCAGCUGCCAUACUGUACACUGGACGGGCUGGACACGCCCCUCGGUUGCAGGUUUCUUCCAAGUCCAGGUUUGGUUUCUUAAUAUUGCGGCACCGUCGCUCAGGGAGGGUUACCAGCUUGCCCUGGAAGGCCUUCUCGCUGCAUUUCAUUUCCCUCUUCCUUACCCCCAAACCACAGCUAGCGGAACA